rnacentral:rRNA from 1 species
UAGGGAAUCUUCCGCAAUGGACGCAAGUCUGACGGAGCAACGCCGCGUGAGUGAAGAAGGAUUUCGGUUCGUAAAACUCUGUUGUUAGAGAAGAACAGCGCAUAGAGUAACUGUUAUGCGUGUGACGGUAUCUAACCAGAAAGCCACGGCUAACUACGUGCCAGCAGCCGCGGUAAUACGUAGGUGGCAAGCGUUGUCCGGAUUUAUUGGGCGUAAAGCGAGCGCAGGCGGUCAAUUAAGUCUGAUGUGAAAGCCCACGGCUCAACCGUGGAGGGUCAUUGGAAACUGGAAAACUUGAGUGCAGAAGAGGAAAGUGGAAUUCCAUGUGUAGCGGUGAAAUGCGCAGAGAUAUGGGGGAACACCGGUGGCGAAGGCGACUUUCUGGUCUGUAACUGACGCUGAUGUGCGAAAGCGUGGGGAUCAAACAGG